CAGUCAUACCAACGGGAAAUCAACCUCUUGAGUUUGGUCUUGUGGGUUUCGAAGAGUUUAAAAGCCUUCGGAUUUGCGAGGAUUGGGCUCUUUUGGUGUACUUUCUCGUACGGUUAGUCAACAUCGGUUUUGAAUGUCAUAAAAUGACUGGAGGAAUGUGGCUUCGAUCUCGUAUUGAAGUGUUAUAGCCUUUGGUAGAUGUGAUGUUCGAGACCGAGGAUUGCAACGGAUACCCUUCUGGGCUAUUCGUCUGAUCUCUGAUACGUUGCCUUGGUGUCGAAAGCUUGCUUAUGAUAUUAGGGUAUUACGGUCAAAAGGUUAGAACGGAUUAAA
rnacentral:rRNA from 1 species